UACGAAGGGGGCUAGCGUUGCUCGGAAUCACUGGGCGUAAAGCGCACGUAGGCGGAUUGUUAAGUCGGGGGUGAAAUCCUGGAGCUCAAUUCCAGAACUGCCUUCGAUACUGGCGAUCUUGAGUCCGGGAGAGGUGAGUGGAACUCCGAGUGUAGAGGUGAAAUUCGUAGAUAUUCGGAAGAACACCAGUGGCGAAGGCGGCUCACUGGCCCGGUACUGACGCUGAGGUGCGAAAGCGUGGGGAGCAAACAGG
rnacentral:rRNA from 1 species